UACGGGGGGGGCAAGCGUUGUUCGGAAUUACUGGGCGUAAAGGGCUCGUAGGCGGCCAACUAAGUCGGACGUGAAAUCCCCAGGCUCAACCUGGGAACUGCAUCCGAUACUGGAUGGCUUGAAUUCGGGAGAGGGAUGCAGAAUUCCAGGUGUAGCGGUGAAAUGCGUAGAUAUCUGGAGGAAUACCGGUGGCGAAGGCGGCAUCCUGGACCGACAUUGACGCUGAUGCACGAAAGCGUGGGGAGCAAACAGG
rnacentral:rRNA from 1 species